rnacentral:misc_RNA from 1 species
UCGAGCUGUUUCAAGACAAUCCGGCGAUGCUGGAGUUCCUGCAGAUGGCCAGUCAUGGGCAGGUCAUGCUGUCGAUGUUCAGUCAGAACUUUCCCAGUCUGCCGAAGGGGACGGUCUUACUGCUGGAUGAGCCGGAGAUGGCGCUCUCGCAGUCGAACCAGCGGCGGAUACUGAAGAUGAUGAUGGAGUUGGUGCAGGAGAAGGGGUUUCGGGUGGUCACGGCUACGCAUUCUCCGGUCCUGAUUGAGGCUCGGGAGACUUAUGUUAUCAACCUCGAUGA